rnacentral:piRNA from 1 species
UCACUGUCGCUUCUCUAGUUUUCUGC